GACGAACGCUGGCGGCGUGCUUAACACAUGCAAGUCGAGCGAUGAAGCUCCUUCGGGAGUGGAUUAGCGGCGGACGGGUGAGUAACACGUGGGCAACCUGCCUUGUAGAGAGGAAUAGCCAUCCGAAAGGAUGAUUAAUACCUCAUAAUAUUGUAGCUUCGCAUGGAGCAACAAUCAAAGGAGCAAUCCACUAUAAGAUGGGCCCGCGGCGCAUUAGCUAGUUGGUGAGGUAACGGCUAACCAAGGCGACGAUGCGUAGCCGACCUGAGAGGGUGAUCGGCCACAUUGGGACUGAGACACGGCCCAGACUCCUACGGGAGGCAGCAGUGGGGAAUAUUGCACAAUGGGGGAAACCCUGAUGCAGCAACGCCGCGUGAGUGAUGACGGCCUUCGGGUUGUAAAGCUCUGUCUUCAGGGACGAUAAUGACGGUACCUGAGGAGGAAGCCACGGCUAACUACGUGCCAGCCGCCGCAGUAA
rnacentral:rRNA from 1 species